CCUACGGGAGGCAGCAGUGGGGAAUAUUGCGCAAUGGGCGAAAGCCUGACGCAGCGACGCCGCGUGAGGGAUGAAGGUCUUCGGAUCGUAAACCUCUGUCAGCAGGGAAGAACAGUCACUGUGCUAAUCAGCAGUGAAUUGACGGUACCUGACAAGGAAGCACCGGCUAACUCCGUGCCAGCAGCCGCGGUAAUACGGCGGGUGCGAGCGUUCAUCGGAAUUACUGGGCGUAAAGCGCUCGUAGGCGGUAUGUCAAGUCAAGGGUGAAAUCCCCGCGCUCAACGUGGGAACUGCCUUUGAAACUGGGAAACUUGAGUGUGUGAGAGGAUAGUGGAAUUCCAGGUGUAGGAGUGAAAUCCGUAGAUAUCUGGAGGAACAUCAGUGGCGAAGGCGACUAUCUGGCACAUAACUGACGCUGAGGAGCGAAAGCGUGGGUAGUAAACAGGAUUAGAUACCCGAGUAGUC
rnacentral:rRNA from 1 species